GGCCACGUACGAUGUCGAUUUGGAGGUUGUGCCCUUGAGGCGUGGCUUCCGGAGCUAACGCGUUAAAUCGACCGCCUGGGGAGUACGGCCGCAAGGUUAAAACUCAAAUGAAUUGACGGGGGCCCGCACAAGCGGUGGAGCAUGUGGUUUAAUUCGAUGCAACGCGAAGAACCUUACCUGGUCUUGACAUCCACAGAACUUUCCAGAGAUGGAUUGGUGCCUUCGGGAACUGUGAGACAGGUGCUGCAUGGCUGUCGUCAGCUCGUGUUGUGAAAUGUUGGGUUAAGUCCCGCAACGAGCGCAACCCUUAUCCUUUGUUGCCAGCGGUUAGGCCGGGAACUCAAAGGAGACUGCCAGUGAUAAACUGGAGGAAGGUGGGGAUGACGUCAAGUCAUCAUGGCCCUUACGACCAGGGCUACACACGUGCUACAAUGGCAUAUACAAAGAGAAGCGACCUCGCGAGAGCAAGCGGACCUCAUAAAGUAUGUCGUAGUCCGGAUUGGAGUCUGCAACUCGACUCCAUGAAGUCGGAAUCGCUAGUAAUCGUAGAUCAGAAUGCUACGGUGAAUACGUUCCCGGGCCUUGUACACACCGCCCGUCACACCAUGGGAGUGGGUUGCAAAAGAAGUAGGUAGCUUAACCUUCGGGAGGGCGCUUACCACUUUGUGAUUCAUGACUGGGGUGAAGUCGUAACAAGGGUAACCGAAC
rnacentral:rRNA from 1 species